ensembl:lncRNA
UUAGACACUCCAAGCAAAAUUCUUGUUUGAGAAAAAGCUAUUUCUGUAUUAUCUGCUAUAUUUUUGGACAAUUUUAAUGGAAAACUAUUAUAAUAACGUACUAAAUGGUUAUCCAUAAAAUAUAUGAUAUUGAGAUAAAAAUGGCUGCAUUGGGCCUUUAAGUCAUUCUAGGGGUCUAAUACAUUGAGUUUAGAUGCUAUGUUUUGUACGUACAGUAAGCUUUCUCAAACAGUGAAUAUUGCCCUUGACUCUCAGGGUGCCUAACAAAACAGAGUUUCAACACCCAGGUCCUAUAUAGCGAAAAGACCUGGGUGGUGAUCAGUGUAUGCGACAACUGGAGUAAAAAAAAAAAUCCUGUGAUAAUCCAACAAUGGUUUAUAAUAUAUAUAAUAUAUACCUCUUGUCUGUGUUUUGUUUUAGCCAUGGAUGGUGUGUUGGAGGGAGCGGCUGUGGUGUGUGUGUGUAAACUGGCCUGCAGUCUUCUCUUCCUGCCCAUGGUCACUGCUUCUCUCAGUGCAGUCAGCUUCUGCUGCAACUGCCUGCUGCUCUUCACAGACCUCGUAGUCACAACUAUCCUGGUUGUCCUCUGGUUUGCAGACCCCUGGCUACCUCAGUUUUCCACGUCCUCUGAUGUCAUUGCCCUGCGCUUCCUGCUCUUCCUCAGCCAUACCUACUGGGCGGUGCUGCUGAUGACUACUCCUCUUGUUGCCGUGGAGACUGCCAUGAAGUUGCAGUGGCCCCAGGUCCAUGGUGGCAGAGGUAGAGCAGUGGACGGGGACACAGGCGGACGUAGUGAAACACCGGGCUCUAAAGCUCCUGCACAUCACCAUGGGGUGACCGUGGAGGUAGAGGACGGGCAGAGCAGGGACACAGACAGCCAGAGAGAAGGGAGAGAGGACCAGGAAAAGUGCCUGCCCCACAUCAUUUACUUCCUCUGCUGUCUGCUGGUGUGGGUUCUCUGUGGUGUCUGUGGGGGUCAGAGCUGGAGACUUUGGGUGAAGGUCUGCAUGGAGAGAACCAGCUCUCUCACUAUGUGCCUUCCCAGCCUCCCCAACAAUGUCCUGUCUGCUCUGGGUGAGCCCUGCUGGGCCCUGGCCACCGUGACCUUGGCCCUCCUGCUGGUGCUGACGGUGGGCUGGGGCCUGCUCAGACGACACCUGGCCCACACAGAGACGGACACGCACUCAACGACACACAAGGGGGAACAUGGCACUGACAUUGAACUGCCCGCACAAACAUUCGCUGCACCAUGCAUGGCUGUAAACCCUGCCACGUCAGCGGUGCCAGACACACAGUCUGUUGACCCAGAGACAACACGGUCCAGAUGCUCCCUUCACAGCCCAUGUUCCGGGAACAACAUACAGCUAUCACUGGCUCACCAUGGAUACUCUGGCCUCUUAUCUUUGGAGUGUUUGUCAGCAGACAUACUAGAGGAACACAGAGAGACAAAAGGACUAGGAGACAUGCCUCUCAGCACUACCGUGGAGGAACACACAGGCUCUACCUACAGGAGCCAGUGUGGGAUGGGGCAGUGGGGCUUUCCCUGCCUGGGGGUAAACGUAAUGACAGGGUUUGUGUGUUUGCUCAUUGUCUGUGUGUUACCUCUAAAUCUCAGUGUGAACAUCCUACUGAUCAGGCACAUAGAGACAAUGCUGGAGUGGAGUUUGAAGCUCUUAUUGUUUGUACCCAAAGAAGCCACAGACAACACAGGGCUCUCCCAGUCAAUGUAACACAGGCAUAAAGUCAGUGUACUGGACAAUAAACCCGGAUGGGGGUAGUGUUAGAUAUUAAAGUGUGUCUUGGGAAUGGGAUUGUGUUGAGAGGGACUUAUUAGGUAUUGUCCGGGGGUAGGAUCAGAUGAAUAUUACAUGUACUGUAGACAGCUGGUCUACCUGUCAAUGAUAAAAAGUAAACAGUUCCCUCUUUGACUGUGACUGUCUAUUCAUGCGUGCCGAGUGAUCUCUGGGAAGCUGCAGAGGAGUGCUGAAAAAGUCAGGUUGAGGCUUGCUUUCCAGAUCUAUAGACAUGCAACCCAAUAAUUAGUUUGCUGAAACAGUAGAUGGGGGGGGGGGGGGGGGGUGUUUAGUUAUCUGAAAUGUGGACAAAAAUGUGGGAGAUUUUUUGGGGGAAUUUUAAUUUGACCUUUAUUUUACUAGACAAGUCAGUUAAGAACAAAUUCUUAUUUUCAAUGACGGCCUAGGAACAGUGGGUUAACUGCCUGGCAGAUUUGUACCUUGUCAGCUCGGGGAUUCGAACUUGCAACCUUCCGGUUACUAGUCCAACGCUCUAACCACUAGGCUACCCUGCCGCCCCAGAUGAUAUGACUUCACCUUACCUCAGCAAAAGGCAAGUGAUUAUAAUGCAUGCUUAACAAGAAGUGGCUCUAAACACUACUACUGCCAUUGGGCUGUAGCUAGGUAUGAAACGACAACAAAGCUUUCUCUUCACUCAGGGGUUUUCUGAGUCGAGGAAUAAGAUUCCGCUUGAUCACAGGCGCAGCAGGGGGCUGAAUAACAUUGAGAAAUUCAAGCUAUUAACACACACACACACACACACACACACACACACACACAAACAGCCGUGUUCAUACAGGUACCACGUUGCAGACACAUGCUGCAUACCUCCUAACAUCAGGUUCAAAUGUCUUCGGAGUUCAGAGGAAACGCUGAUAUUACCCAGGCCAACACCAGAGGGCAGCCUGCAGCCAGCAACAACACCAGGUAGCUCACAAAGGAGACAUCUGAAGCUCCCAGGCUAGAAUGUCUAUUACAUACAGUACAUUGAAACAAGAGAUGGAGAGGGGAUUUCUCUAAACAAAGGAGUAACGUUUAGGUUGUGCUGCCCUUGAGAGAGCCAGAGGGCAAACACUGAGUCAACAGCAGGUAGGGCUAGUUAGCUACAUCUUUCUGGCUGCCAAAGUGUUCAGACCUGUACAGACAGAUACACAGCAAAAUAGUGAUUCAACCCGGAGCCCAGAACAGAUCAAAAUGAGGCUGAGCUCAUUCUCUAAAGUCUCUGACACUGGAUAUAGAUUGAAAUAUAUAUAUUAUUAAAGGUGUAGUUGCAGCCAAAUUUAUUGGCACCUUUGCACUUUUCAUAAAUAAUUCCCUAUUUCUUCCAAAAGAAGUGAAAAAAAAACAAAUUUAAAGGCGUUAUUUGAUUUUCAACAUUGCAGAACUUAUGUCUACAAUUUUAAUUGAUAAAUUAAAUAAAAAUGGCAUUGACAAAAUGAAUAGCACCCCAGAGCUAGUACUUGGUUGCACAGCUUUUGGCCAUGAUAGCUGCCACAAAUACUUAUUGUAGUCAUUGUUGGACAUGAUCUGACUUGAACUUUUUUAAAUGCAUAAUCCACUUAAUAGUAGUAAUACCUUGUUAUUGGUUAGCAUGUUGGAGCUGGAGACUGUUAUUACAGUGGCAAAGGGAAGUACAGAAAGUCUCUAUGUCCAGAUAUGUUAAUAAUAUUUCUAAGGAAGUAGGUCGAGCCACAGUCGAGUCUCAGCUCCUGGUAAGGUCAGGCUAGUUUCUGUGGAACCAGGACAGUGAGAGAUGUAGUGUUCAACAUCGAGGUGAGCACAACAGUUGAAGAGAGAAGAAACCUCUAGGAGGGGGGCUAGAGGGGCCCAUCCUAACAAUAGUCCAACAGUCGUCUUAUCUCACCUCCCUGCCCAGGAAAAUUCUGGACUCGGAGGACGAACAUCAAGAGGAGGAACGGACUCAGUUCUUGCCCAGCGACAGAGACUGAUUGUUUAUACUAGACAUACCUUUGGUCAUGUAGUGUAUGUGGACACCUGCUCGUUGAACAUCUCAUUCCAAAAUCAUGGCCAUUAAAAUGGAGUUGGCCAUCUAGAAUGUUAUUGUAUGUAGCGUUAAGAUUUCCCUACACUGGAACUAAGGGGCCUAGCCCGAACCAUGAAAAACAUCCCCAGACCAUUAUUCCUCCUCCAACAAACUUUACAGUUGGCACUAUGCAUUCGGGCAGGU